rnacentral:tRNA from 1 species
UAAGCAGGUAAGCUAAAUUUAAGCUAUUGGGCUCAUAACCCAACAAUGGGGAACCUCUGCUUAA